rnacentral:tRNA from 1 species
GCUCAGAUGUCCGAGUGGUUAAGGAGAUAGACUUGAAAUCUAUUGGGAUUUUCCCGCGUAGGUUCGAUUCCUGCAAUAGGCA